rnacentral:ncRNA from 1 species
UUCUUCGGGGCAGGGUGAAAUUCCCUACCGGCGGUGACAGUCCGCGACCCGCUGCGGCGGUUGAAUCGGUGAAAUUCCGAUACCGACAGUAUAGUCUGGAUGAGAGAAGAA